AGCGCCUCUUUUCCGGGCCGUCGGCGGCCUGCGCCACCCCCCGCGCGCCCGGCCCCGCCCUCAACGCCCGCUCUGCGGCUCCGGCGGGCAGCGCCGUGCCGCGCCUCCGAGGUGGGAGCCCCCAAAAUGGCUCCGGCGGGCUCUCGCUCCGCUCCGCUCCCCUCCCCGCCGCGCCGGGCCGGGCGUCUCCAGCGCGCUCCGGGGAGGCAGAAGAGGUGAUGAUGUGCCAGCAUUAGUUGUCAUUCUCUUUCUUGGAUCCUGCACCCCUAAAUACAGCAGCAGCUGUUCUGUGCUUUAUUUCAGAUGAAAGAAACUUCAGUGUGAACUGCUGUGGUAUCUCACAGCUCAAGUAUCAUCUUCCCGUUUUUGUUUCUUCCCUUAAUCUGAAAUGAGCAUCAUCCAGCCCGAAAAUUUGUUUUCUUCCUCUUUGGGAAUGGAAAGCGUAGCAUUGAGAACAACCCUUCCUUGCAGCGCGGAGCGGGCAGAGCCGCAGCGCUGCGCUCGCUGCAGGCGAUGCUCUGCUGCCGGGGCUGCGGCGGGCCGGGGCUGCGGCGGGCCAGGCGCGGGGCCCUGCGGGGCUGAACGGGUGCAGCGAAUCCUGCUGACUCACGCUGCCACAACCGACCUGCCCGAGCAGUUUCAGCGGAGUAUCAGAACAGGGGCACGAACAUCCGUCCAAAAGAAAGAAGGGGUGAAAUCAGGAAAGCCUUAAGGAAGAUGAAAGGGGUCACUGACCUAGGGAAUAGGCAGAGACCAUUUUACAUUCCUUUUGUUAUUUACAUUAACAGCGAAGUCACCCUAAACCAGGGUGUGUUUGAACGCAGGCAGGGAGUGGAACCGCCUACAAAGGGCUCUCACUUAGGCUUUUGGAAAAUGUAAAAUAAUGAUACUCCUCCAUUUAUGGUGCCUUGCAGGAGUAAAUAUGUUUUUCUCCUUCAUCUAAGCAUCUUAAAUUAUUUGCCACUGAUAGAUUGCCACUUUAUUUUUCAGAGCACUUUUUAUUUGAAUCAUAUUCCUACCUUUUUCCACAGUUCAGUAAUUACUGUAAAUAGAAUUAGUAAAUGCACUUUGAUAGCAUAGUUUCUGCAGAAAAAUGUUUCACUGACAUGUAAAAGUUUGAUGGAAGCAUAGUAACUUCAGAAAAAAAUGUAACUUAAAAAGGUCCAAAUAGAAGACUUCAUCACACACUAUCAAAAUUAAGUAAGAAUCCUGAAAUAAUUUGUUUUGACUUUCCUGUUUUAAAGUGCUUCAUUUUGUUAAUAUCACUGCUUCAUUUCAGCUAUCAUUUCAUCUGACUUAUGAUAAACAGUUCGUUAAAAUUCAGCAUUAGUAUAUUAAACUGAAAAUUUGUAUUUAUAUCAUAAUGGAACAUGAAUGUAUUCAAACAUGACAUUGUUGAAGCCA